rnacentral:RNase_P_RNA from 14 species
UGGGCAGGGGAAGCUCAUCAGCUGGGCCACUAGCUGAGUGCUCGUCACUCCAUUGGCCCCUGGGAAGAUCUGAGACUACCCCACCCCACCCCCAGGCCCUAACCAGGCUCUCCCCUAGCGGGAAGGUGAGUUCCCAGAGAGCAGGGCUCCACAUGUGGGGCAGACUGGGCAGGAGAAGCCCCAAGUGGGAGGAUGCUGCCCUCUCCAGGGCUUGGAACAUACUCACAGCCAGCAGUGAAUUCAAUGGCUGAGGUGAGUGAGGUACCUCGUGGGCCUCCUAACCCAAUUCAGACUACACCCCCCCA